GGAGAGGUGGCAGAGCGGUUGAAUGCACCGGUCUUGAAAACCGGCAAGGGUUAACAGCCCUUCGUGGGUUCAAAUCCCACCCUCUCCGCCA
rnacentral:tRNA from 1 species